rnacentral:ncRNA from 1 species
GUCCGGGAGAGGAUCCGCGCCGCCGCGGAUCGCCGAAGGGGCAAAACUCUCAGGCAGAAGGACUGGACGGG